rfam:Georgenia sp. STBG003 Ion020_assembly_c672, whole genome shotgun sequence.
CCCCAAAAAUUUUCCCCCGGGGGAAAAAUUUUCCCCCGGGGGAAAAAUUUUGGGGGUUUUAAAAAACCCCCAAAAAGGGGGCCCCCUUUUAAAAACCCCCGGGGGUUUUAAAAACCCCCGGGGGUUUUCCCC